UGGGGGGGGAAGAGCAAGGGCAGGGGAGGAACAGAAGGAAGACAUGACAGAACUCUUCAGUUGACAAUAUAACCUCAAAGAAAAAAGAGUAUAUAAUCAUCAACUUAUAAAACCAAGCUUUUACCAACAAAUUUAGUUUCAACACAUCUCAACGAUCUUUGGCCGCUUUUUGGACCCAUUUCUGCCAGCAGCUUGACUUGAGCCCUCUUCAACAAAGCUAGAUG
rnacentral:misc_RNA from 1 species